rnacentral:rRNA from 1 species
GUGCAGCCGCCGCGGUAAUACCGGCAGCUCAAGUGAUGUCCCAUAUUAUUGGGCCUAAAGCGUCCGUAGCUGGCCGACCAAGUCUCCCGGGAAAUCCACCCGCCCAACGGGUGGGCGUCCGGUAGAAACUGGCCGGCUUGGAACCGGAAGGCUCAGAGAGUACGUCCGGGGUAGGAGUGAAAUCCCGUAAUCCCGGACGGACUACCGAUGGCGAAAGCACUCUGGGAAAACGGAUCCGACAGUGAGGGACGAAAGCCAGGGUCUCCAACCGGAUUAGAAACCCGGGUAGUCC